rnacentral:rRNA from 1 species
UACAUGGGGUGCAAACGUUGCUCGGAAUUAUUGGGCGUAAAGGGCUCGUAGGCGGCCAACUAAGUCGGAUGUGAAAUCCCCAGGCUUAACCUGGGAACUGCAUCCGAUACUGGAUGGCUUGAAUCCGGGAGAGGGAUGCAGAAUUCCAGGUGUAGCGGUGAAAUGCGUAGAUAUCUGGAGGAAUACCGGUGGCGAAGGCGGCAUCCUGGACCGGCAUUGACGCUGAGUGAGCGAAAGCCAGGGGAGCAAACGGG